rnacentral:tRNA from 1 species
GUUUAAAUAGCUUAAAUAAAGCGCAAUAUUGAAGAUAUUGAGAUAAGAUUGGAUCUUUUUAAACA